GACGAACGCUGGCGGCGUGCUUAACACAUGCAAGUCGAACGAUGAAGGAGAGCUUGCUCUCCGGAUUAGUGGCGAACGGGUGAGUAACACGUGACUAACCUGCCCCUUUCUCUGGGAUAACGCUCCGAAAGGAGUGCUAAUACCGGAUACGAACUCUGAACACAUGUUCGGAGUUGGAAAGUUUUUCGGAAAGGGAUGGAGUCGCGGCCUAUCAGCUUGUUGGUGAGGUAACGGCUCACCAAGGCGACGACGGGUAGCCGGCCUGGGAGGGCGACCGGCCGCACUGGGACUGAGACACGGCCCAGACUCCGACGGGAGGCAGCAGUGGGGAAUAUUGCACAAUGGGCGAAAGCCUGAUGCAGCGUAGCCGCGUGAGGGAUGAAGGUCUUCGGAUUGUAAACCUCUUUCCGUAGGGACGAAGCGAAAGUGACGGUACCUAAAGAAGAAGCACCGGCUAACUACGUGCCAGCCGCCGCAGUAA
rnacentral:rRNA from 1 species